rnacentral:rRNA from 1 species
CCUACGGGUGGCAGCAGUGAGGAAUAUUGGUCAAUGGACGAAACUCUGAUCCAGCCAAGUCGCGUGAAUGAAGAAGGAUCUAUGUUUUUUAAGCUUCUUUUAUAGGGGAAUAAAGGUCUCCACGUGUGUAUAUUUGCAUGUCCCCUAUGAAUAAGCAUCGGCUAACUCUGUGCCAGCAGCCGCGGUAAUACGGAGGAUGCGAGCGUUAUCCGGAUUUAGUGGGUUUAAAGGGUGCGUAGGUUGUUGUUUAAGUCAGCGGUGAAAGUUUGUGGCUCAACCAUAAAAUUGCCGUUGAAACUGGAAGACUUGAGUGUGGUUGAGGUAGGCGGAAUGCGUGGUGUAGCGGUGAAAUGCAUAGAUAUUACGCAGAACUCCGAUUGCGAAGGCAGCUUACUAAGCUAUAACUGACACUGAAGCACGAAAGCGUGGGGAUCAAACAGGAUUAGAUACCCGGGUAGUC